rnacentral:rRNA from 1 species
UGAGUAACACGUAUCCAACCUGCCGUCUACUCUUGGACAGCCUUCUGAAAGGAAGAUUAAUACAAGAUGGCAUCAUGAGUUCACAUGUUCACAUGAUUAAAGGUAUUCCGGUAGACGAUGGGGAUGCGUUCCAUUAGAUAGUAGGCGGGGUAACGGCCCACCUAGUCUUCGAUGGAUAGGGGUUCUGAGAGGAAGGUCCCCCACAUUGGACUGAGACACGGCCAA